UCCAUCCAGCCUAGCUAGCCAUGGAGACGGAGCCACCCAAGAUGCUCGCCGUGAUGGCGACGAUGAUGAUGAUGAUGGCCACCGCCGCUGCACUCGUACCGGAGGGGGCGGUGCUUGCAGGACAGGCGAGGGCGCUCCUCGUCUGGAAAGCCAGCCUCGACGACCAAAGCCAGCACACACUGCUGUCCUGGGAGAACAUGUCGGCGCCCUGCAGCUGGCGUGGCAUCACGUGCACAGGGCAACAUCGCCGGCCGGUGAUCAGCGGCAUCUCUCUGCAGGGGAUGCGGCUUAGAGGGGCGCUGGGGCCACUCGACUUCUCAGCCUUGGCGACCCUGACGCGCCUCGACCUCUCGCACAACCACCUCAGCGGGAGCAUCCCUGCCGGCAUUGAGGCCCUCGGAGAGCUCCGUGCUCUGCUUCUACAAGGCAACCAGAUAAGAGGCUCCAUUCCACUAGGCCUAGCAAAUCUCACAAAAUUACGCUCCUUAAUGCUUAAUGAAAAUGAACUCUCCGGUGGAAUACCAAGGCACAUAGGCAACAUGAGUAAUCUUGUGAACCUCACCUUGUCGGUCAAUCACUUGGUUGGUCAAAUCCCCUUUGAAAUAGGCCACCUAAAGCACUUGGUUACAUUAGAUUUUUCUAAUAACAAUCUUUCCGGCUCAAUCCCAAGCAAUAUAUGUGACUUGACAAAACUUGCUACCUUGUACCUUGACGCCAACCAACUCUUUGGACACAUCCCUCGAGAACUUGGUCAUUUGGUCAAUUUAAAGGACCUGGGCCUUAGCCGAAACAAGCUGAUAGGUUCCAUCCCAAAUAACUUGAGAAAUUUAACAAAACUCACUGCCUUGUAUUUUGGACAGAACGAACUUCCUGGCCAAAUUCCACAAGAUUUAGGUUAUCUAGUGAAUUUAAAGGUCUUGGAUCUUUGUCAAAACACGUUCUCAGGUUCCAUUCCAAUAAAUUUGUUUAAUUCGACGAAGCUCACUAUCUUAUCUCUAUGGGGCAACAGGCUCUCUGGUCAAAUUCCACAAGAAUUAAGUCAGCUAGUUAACUUGGAGGAAUUAGAACUUAAUACAAACACACUAUCAGGUUCUAUCCCAAUCACUAUAGGGAAUUUGACCAAACUCACUAGAUUAUACCUUUUCCAGAACCAACUUUCGGGGCAAAUUCCACGGGUGCUAGGUUAUAUGAUGAACUUAAAAGAAUUGGCUCUAUAUGAAAACACACUCUCAGGGAACAUUCCAAGAAAUUUAUGUAAUUUGACCAAGCUCACUGUCUUAAUUCUUUCACGCAAUAGACUUUCUGGUCAGAUUCCACAAGAAUUAGGUUACCUUGUGAACUUAAAUGACAUGGAUCUUACUUUUAAUACACUCUCAGGUCCUAUCCCAGUCACCAUAGGCAAUCUGACAAAACUCAAUAUAUUAAGCCUUUUUAUGAACCAACUUUCGGGGCGAAUUCCACGAGAAUUGGGUUACCUUGUGAACUUAGAGGAGUUGGAUCUUAAUAUUAACAAACUAUCAGGUUCCAUCCCAAACAGCUUACGAAGUUUGACAAAGCUCACCAAGUUAUGCCUUGCACAAAACCAACUCUCUGGAUCUAUUCCUCAAGGAAUUGGCAAGUUAACGAGCCUAGUUCAACUGCAACUCCCUUUUAACAACCUCUCUGGUUCCUUGCCAUCUGGUCUUUGUGCGGGAGGUCAGCUACAAUUUUUGAUCGUUAACGACAACAACUUGGUUGGACCCUUGCCAUCAAGUUUGCUAAGUUGUACAAGCCUAGUCAGGAUUCGACUUGAACGGAAUUACCUCGAAGGAGAUAUCACCGAGAUGGGAGCUCAUCCAAAUCUUGUCUAUAUUGAUAUAAGUUCAAAUAAACUAUUUGGUAAACUAUCUCAUCGUUGGGCUGAGUGCUACAAUCUUACAGUGCUACGUGCAUCAAAAAACAAUAUAACCGGAGUAAUACCAUCAAGUAUUGGGAAAUUAUCUUGGUUGGGGAUACUUGAUGUUUCAUCAAAUAAGCUUGAAGGACAAAUUCCUCCAGAAAUCGGCAAUAUAACGAUGUUGUUCAGUUUGAGCCUUUUUGGUAACUUGCUCCAGGGAAAUAUGCCCGCAGAAAUUGGAUCACUGAAAAAUGUGGAAUAUCUAGAUUUAUCAUCAAACAACCUAACUGGGCAGAUACCAGGAUCAAUUCAGCAUUGUUUGAAGCUUCACUCUCUAAAGUUGAGCCAUAAUCACUUCAAUGGUAUAAUUCCUAAUGAACUAGGGAUGUUGGUAAACCUACAAGAUAUGUUGGAUCUAAGUGAAAAUUCAAUUGAUGGCGCUAUUCCUAGUCAACUAGGUGGUCUUACUAUGCUUGAAGCCUUGAAUCUUUCUCACAAUGCACUGAACGGCAGCAUUCCACCAUCAUUCCAGAGCAUGAACAGCCUCCUAUACAUGGAAAUGUCAUACAACAAAUUAGAAGGGUCAGUGCCACAUACUAGGCUCUUUGAAGAGGCUCCAAUCAAAUGGUUUAAGCAUAAUAAGAAAUUGUGUGGUGUUGUAAGAGGUUUGCCCCCUUGUGAUCUUCCUCAAAGUAGUGAACAAGGGAAAAAUUCUGGUGCUAUUUUACUCUCUAUAAUAGCCGCAAUUGCAUCUUUUAUGUUUGUCAUUGCACUGGUAACAUGGCAGUGCAAAAAGAAGAAAACCAAGACAGCAGUUAUAGAUAAAUCACAACAAACCAAGAUGUUCACCAUUUGGAAUUUUGAUGGGGAAGAUGUGUACAAGAAAAUUGUUGAUGCCACAAACAAUUUCAGCAACGCUCAUUGCAUUGGAUCUGGAGGUAAUGGAUCAGUCUACAGAGUCCAGUUACCAACAGGUGAAUUGUUUGCAGUGAAAAAGAUCCAUAUGAUGGAAGAUAAUGAGCAAUUUAACCGUGAAAUACAAGCAUUGAUGUAUAUUCGACAUCGGAACAUUGCAAAGUUAUUUGGUUACUGCUCUGCAACCCAAGGAAGAUUUCUUGUGUAUGAAUACAUGGAUAGAGGAAGCUUAUCAGCAUCUUUGAAGGGUACAGAAACUGCAGUUGAAUUGGAUUGGCCGAAGAGGUUAAAUAUUGUUUGCGAUGUUGCUCAUGCUUUGUCUUACAUGCAUCAUGACUGCUUCGCACCGAUAGUCCACCGAGAUAUAACAAGCAACAACGUUUUGCUUGACCUGGAAUUUAGAGUUUGCAUCUCAGAUUUUGGUCUAGCGAAAAUACUAGAUGUGGAUGCAUCGAACUGCACUAGUCUCGCAGGGACAAAAGGAUAUCUUGCCCCAGAGCUUGCAUACACAACAAGGGUGACGGAGAAGUGCGAUGUUUAUAGCUUUGGGAUACUUGUUCUAGAGCUGUUCAUGGGACAUCAUCCAGGUGAUUUCCUUUUGUCCAUGGGCAACAACAAAAAUAGUACAUCAAUUGAGAAAUUUCUGGACACCCGGCUCCCACUCCCUGAAGCUGAGGUCGCAACUAAGAUAUUUCAAGUGGUCGCCAUCGCUGUUCGGUGCAUAGAGCCCGAUCCAUCGCACCGUCCGACGAUGCAGCAAGUAACCAAGGCUCCUCUCGUAAGAGGGUAGGCAUCGAUGCUAGAAGGAGUGAUACUGUCAACUUAGACGAUGAAGAUGAUGGUCUGAUCAGGAAUGGUUCAACAACAAGAGAGGCACCUUUUAAAGGACUUAAGACCAACGACAUACAUCAUGUGUGGAACCAUGGCCCCAAGCACGGAGGAGGAUUUCAUUGUCGGUAUUGCAACAUGAAGAAUUCUGGAGGAGGUGCAACCCGCUUCAAAGAGCAUCUUGGCAAGAUAGUAGGUGAAGUGAAGGAGUGCCCAAAUGUUCCAAGAAAUGUGCAUGAUAUAAUGAGGAAGGCCGUGCUUGAGAUGAGGAAAAAGAAGAGGGAGAAGGAAAGUCGUAAGCUUAGAUUUGAACGUGAGUUGAUGGAUGAGAUGUACCAGAGAAAUGGUGUGAUAAAUAUUGAUGAUGAUAAAGAUGAAGAAAUUCAUAUGGCACUACGGGAGUCACUAAGAGACAGGAA